rnacentral:rRNA from 1 species
UACGUAGGGACCAAGCGUUGUUCGGAUUUACUGGGCGUAAAGAGCGCGUAGGCGGCGUGACAAGUCACUUGUGAAAUCUCCGGGCUUAACUCGGAACGGCCAAGUGAAACUGUCAUGCUAGAGUGCAGAAGGGGCAAUCGGAAUUCUUGGUGUAGCGGUGAAAUGCGUAGAUAUCAAGAGGAACACCUGAGGUGAAGACGGGUUGCUGGGCUGACACUGACGCUGAGGCGCGAAAGCCAGGGGAGCAAACGGG